UUGGGCGUAAGCGCGCGCAGGUGGUUUCUUAAGUCUGAUGUGAAAGCCCACGGCUCAUCCGUGGAGGGUCAUUGGAAACUGGGAGACUUGAGUGCACAAGAGGAAAGUGGAAUUCCAUGUGUAGCGGUGAAAUGCGUAGAGAUAUGGAGGAACACCAGUGGCGAAGGCGACUUUCUGGUCUGUAACUGACACUGAGGCGCGAAAGCGUGGGGAGCAAACAGGAUUAUAUACCCUGGUAGUCCACGCCGUAAACGAUGAGUGCUAAGUGUUAGAGGGUUUCCGCCCUUUACUGCUGAAGUUAACGCAUUAAGCACUCCGCCUGGGGAGUACGGCCGCAAGGCUGAAUACUCAAAGGAAUUGACGGGGGCCCG
rnacentral:rRNA from 1 species